UGAACUGUAGCUUAGUGGUAGAGUGAUUGUUUGGCAUAUAUUAGGCCAUGGAUUCAAUUUCCCCCACUGCAA
rnacentral:tRNA from 1 species